rnacentral:rRNA from 1 species
AAUUCGACGCAACGCGCAGAACCUUACCUGGUCUUGACAUCUCGGGAAUCAUUUGGAAACAUAUGAGUGCCUCGCAAGAGGAGCCCGAUGACAGGUGCUGCAUGGCUGUCGUCAGCUCGUGUCGUGAGAUGUUGGGUUAAGUCCCGCAACGAGCGCAACCCUUGUCUUUAGUUGCCAUCAUUAAGUUGGGCACUCUAAAGAGACUGCCGGUGUCAAACCGGAGGAAGGUGGGGAUGACGUCAAGUCCUCAUGGCCUUUAUGACCAGGGCUACACACGUACUACAAUGGCAGGUACAAAGGGCAGCCACUUAGCGAUAAGGCGCGAAUCCCAUAAAACCUGUCUCAGUCCGGAUUGGAGUCUGCAACUCGACUCCAUGAAGUUGGAAUCGCUAGUAAUCGCAGAUCAGCACGCUGCGGUGAAUACGUUCCCGGGCCUU